AACAAUACAAAGCGAAGCGAAGGAAGCGGCGAAAAGGAAGCGCGGAGAACACAAGUCACAAAAGGAAAACGGAGAAAAGGGAGACAAAGGCGAAGAGGGAGCGAAAAGGUAGGGGUCGAAAUAGAGGGCACAUUUUUAAGAGGUUUCAAAGAGCUGCAUUUAUUUGAGAUUAAAACUCACUUGAAGGGAGAUGAUCUUCAAAGUUAAGAUCAUAAACAAUAAAUUUUGUAAUUGUGGUUUCAUCAUAUCACCAUCCAAUUUAUGGUUUUAACGGUGGAUUAUACAUUUUUAUGAUCUGAUUUUAAGUAUUCACGUUGACAAGAUCUCUACAAACUGGAAUUAUAUUUUUUUUAAGUUUCUGUGUGUCCACAUAUUUUAUAGAUUUUUUGUUGUGGCUGUGAAUUUUUUAUUAAAAACUUUUUAUAAGAAAAUGUGAAAUUAUCAAAAGUCGAAUAACUCUUUUUACUAGAUUUACACAAGUUUCCUAAUAUCAACGUAAUGUUUUAUACAAUAAAGUUUUUCCUACAACUAUCAUUCAAAUUGUGAGGAUAUAGGAUAUAGUUUCAUUAAAUACAUUUUUCAAAGUUUCAAAUUUGAGUUUAUAUUAUUCAGACUUCUUUUUUCUUUUGGAGCUUAAGGAUUUUGAUCCACAAUGUACAUAUCUGUUACGAAAGCAUUCAAUUUUAUGGCACAACAUUUUUAGCAUGUGCAACAUUUUAUUUUGUAAUUAGUAAUGCGGUACAAUAUUUCAACUCCAGUUAAUACCCAUAAGUCUAACUGGUUUGAGGUUAACUAGCUAGUAUAAAUACUUGUGUGUGUAUUUCCUUGUGUACCCGCAAUUUUUGUUUAACCCGAAAUUAGAUUGUGUUAUUUUACUCCAAAAGUCAAACCUAAAAGUUUAUUAUUAAUAAAUACACUUACGAUAAGUUCUGUAAAUCAUCAAUUUGGCAUAAUCAUUUGCUGAAAAAUGCAAAUGCUUUGUCGCUCGCCAAGAUCACACGAUCGCCCAUGGCUAAUAAACCCAGAAAAAAAGAGUUUAGGAGGCGACAACCCGAGCUCAGGAAAUGCCCAGGUAAAAGUUAUAAAAAUAAUAGUUCAAUGAUCUCCAGUUGCAGCUGUAAGAAACCAGUGAGUGUACACAGCGGGUGCAAGAAUGAAGUUCCCUGAUGUUCAGAAAUCAGAGUUCUGGUAACGAUUAUUUAAUGGCUGAGGAAUGGCGAUCUUGCAUUGAUUGAUGGACUGAAAGACCUAACCAAUACAAACCCCCAACGAACCGGAGAAAGGAAUUUAGAAAUCCGUUGGCCUGCUGUUGUGACUGUUGCAGUUCGUGUCUCUGGUUGCGUGGCAAGCUGGCCC